rnacentral:rRNA from 1 species
GAUAAACGCUGGCGGCGUGCCUAAUACAUGCAAGUCGAGCGAACGGACGAGAAGCUUGCUUCUCUGAUGUUAGCGGCGGACAGGUGAGUAACACGUGGAUAACCUACCUAUAAGACUGGGAUAACUUCGGGAAACCGGAGCUAAUACCGGAUAAUAUUUUGAACCGCAUGGUUCAAAAGUGAAAGACGGUCUUGCUGUCACUUAUAGAUGGAUCCGCGCUGCAUUAGCUAGUUGGUAAGGUAACGGCUUACCAAGGCAACGAUGCAUAGCCGACCUGAGAGGGUGAUCGGCCACACUGGAACUGAGACACGGUCCAGACUCCUACGGGAGGCAGCAGUAGGGAAUCUUCCGCAAUGGGCGAAAGCCUGACGGAGCAACGCCGCGUGAGUGAUGAAGGUCUUCGGAUCGUAAAACUCUGUUAUUAGGGAAGAACAUAUGUGUAAGUAACUGUGCACAUCUUGACGGUACCUAAUCAGAAAGCCACGGCUAACUACGUGCCAGCAGCCGCGGUAAUACGUAGGUGGCAAGCGUUAUCCGGAAUUAUUGGGCGUAAAGCGCGCGUAGGCGGUUUUUUAAGUCUGAUGUGAAAGCCCACGGCUCAACCGUGGAGGGUCAUUGGAAACUGGAAAACUUGAGUGCAGAAGAGGAAAGUGGAAUUCCAUGUGUAGCGGUGAAAUGCGCAGAGAUAUGGAGGAACACCAGUGGCGAAGGCGACUUUCUGGUCUGUAACUGACGCUGAUGUGCGAAAGCGUGGGGAUCAAACAGGAUUAGAUACCCUGGUAGUCCACGCCGUAAACGAUGAGUGCUAAGUGUUAGGGGGUUUCCGCCCCUUAGUGCUGCAGCUAACGCAUUAAGCACUCCGCCUGGGGAGUACGACCGCAAGGUUGAAACUCAAAGGAAUUGACGGGGACCCGCACAAGCGGUGGAGCAUGUGGUUUAAUUCGAAGCAACGCGAAGAACCUUACCAAAUCUUGACACCCUUUGACAACUCUAGAGAUAGAGCCUUCCCCUUCGGGGGACAAAGUGACAGGUGGUGCAUGGUUGUCGUCAGCUCGUGUCGUGAGAUGUUGGGUUAAGUCCCGCAACGAGCGCAACCCUUAAGCUUAGUUGCCAUCAUUAAGUUGGGCACUCUAAGUUGACUGCCGGUGACAAACCGGAGGAAGGUGGGGAUGACGUCAAAUCAUCAUGCCCCUUAUGAUUUGGGCUACACACGUGCUACAAUGGACAAUACAAAGGGCAGCGAAACCGCGAGGUCAAGCAAAUCCCAUAAAGUUGUUCUCAGUUCGGAUUGUAGUCUGCAACUCGACUACAUGAAGCUGGAAUCGCUAGUAAUCGUAGAUCAGCAUGCUACGGUGAAUACGUUCCCGGGUCU